rnacentral:lncRNA from 1 species
UUUGAAGUCCUGUAUGAAUGUUUAGCUGAUGAACUGAAAUAGGAAUCAAACUCAUUAACGUAUCUCUGCUAUCAGGUGACUAUUAUUUGAGAGUCUUGUUGGAACAAAACGACGAGGAGACGCCGAUAACAAAUGUGCUCGAGUUGUCUAACGAUCUGUAUCACUGAUUCCUAUUGACAACUAAACCAACUAUGAAAGCAAUGUGCCUUCAGGCGAUGACUAAAGUUUAUGGAAAAUAUCACGAAGAGAUUGGAGC